UACGUAGGAGGCAAGCGUUUGUCCGGAGUUACUGGGCGUAAAGCGCACGCAGGCGGUCUUGUCAGUCUGUAGGGACAGGGCACAGCUCAACUGUGUCAGGCUUACGGAAACUGCAAGACUUGAGGGCUUCAGAGGGAUGGGGAAUUCCGGGUGGAGUGGUGAAAUGCGUAGAGAUCCGGAAGAACACCAAAGGCGAAGGCACCAUCCUGGGGAGUCACUGACGCUCGGGUGCGAAAGCUAGGGGAGCGAACGGG
rnacentral:rRNA from 1 species